AUUGAACGCUGGCGGCAUGCCUUACACAUGCAAGUCGAACGGCAGCACGGGAGCAAUCCUGGUGGCGAGUGGCGAACGGGUGAGUAAUAUAUCGGAACGUGCCCGGUCGUGGGGAUAACGUAGCGAAAGCUACGCUAAUACCGCAUACGAUCUACGGAUGAAAGCGGGGGAUCGCAAGACCUCGCGCGAUUGGAGCGGCCGAUAUCAGAUUAGGUAGUUGGUGAGGUAAAGGGCUCACCAAGCCGACGAUCUGUAGCUGGUCUGAGAGGGACGACCAGCCACACUGGGACUGAGACACGGCCCAGGACUCCUACGGGAGGCAGCAGUGGGGAAUUUUGGACAAUGGGCGCAAGCCUGAUCCAGCAAUGCCGCGUGCAGGAUGAAGGCCUCGGUUGUAAC
rnacentral:rRNA from 1 species